rnacentral:rRNA from 1 species
AUUGAACGCUGGCGGCAUGCUUUACACAUGCAAGUCGAACGGUAACAGGCCUUCGGGUGCUGACGAGUGGCGAACGGGUGAGUAAUGCAUCGGAACGUGCCCAAUCGUGGGGGAUAACGUAGCGAAAGUUACGCUAAUACCGCAUAAGCCCUGAGGGGGAAAGUGGGGGACCGCAAGGCCUCGUGCGAAUGGAGCGGCCGAUGUCAGAUUAGCUAGUUGGUGAGGUAAAGGCUCACCAAGGCGACGAUCCGUAGCGGGUCUGAGAGGAUGAUCCGCCACACUGGGACUGAGACACGGCCAGACUCCUACGGGAGGCAGCAGUGGGGAAUUUUGGGACAAUGGGCGCAAGCCUGAUCCAGCCAUGCCGCGUGCGGGACGAAGGCCU